GCGAUCGUACCAGCACUAAUGCACCGGAUCCCAUCAGAACUCCGAAGUUAAGCGUGCUUGGGCGAGAGCAGUACUAGGAUGGGUGACCCCCUGGGAAGUCCUCGUGUUGCACCU
rnacentral:rRNA from 1 species